UACGUAGGGGGCAAGCGUUGUCCGGAUUUAUUGGGCGUAAAGAGCUCGUAGGUGGUUCGGUAAGUCGGAUGUGAAAUCUCCAGGCUCAACCUGGAGGGGUCAUUCGAUACUGCCGUGACUAGAGGUCGGUAGGGGAGUGUGGAAUUCCUGGUGGAGCGGUGAAAUGCGCAGAUAUCAGGAGGAACACCUAUGGCGAAGGCAGCUCGCUGGGACGUUACUGACGCUGAGACGCGAAAGCGUGGGGAGCAAACAGG
rnacentral:rRNA from 1 species